AGGAGGGAGAGAGGGAGAGGGACACAGGGAGAGUCUGGGGAAGGAGGGAGAGAGAGAGAGGAGGGUUCCUAAUAGUAGGUGAGAAACUUAAAAAGACACUAAAUUUCUCUGCUUCCCUACGUGGCCUUAAAGGCAGGUAAUUCCAUGUUUGCUUUCACUUUCAAACAACUUUACCUAUGCAUAUAGGUGAAGCCUAAAAUUAAAAUGAAUUGAUAAAAAAAAUUGAGAGGGCCCAAUUACACAAUCGAUGGAAAAGCAACACGUUUAUACCUCCCAGUCAGGAAGAGCAUUCUGAGAAAGGAGACUUGCCAGCUUCCAAAGGCACUCAGCCUUGACAGCUUGGCUACUUCACGGGCUGACUGCAGCUCAAACACCUGUUGGUAUCUUGGAGCCACAGCACAUCCAUCCUUCCCUCACGCCAACAUCAACCUGAUGUUCACAGACAUUACUGCCAACCUUGUUUUAAUCAACUGGUUGCUCUUGCUUACUGGACAUCUAUGGUAUUUCUUCAAUGCAAAACAACGAGCAAGCUCAUCUGCCAAGAACUCCCCCCAGGAGGCCAGUGGAAAAGAAGCCAUACUUGUAAGAAUUCUAAAGGAAACAAGAACUUUGUAAGGGUAAACGGAGUUACUUCCGAAUUUCCCUAAGGGAAUCCUUAUUGUGACCACUUCAGCUGCCUUUUGUAUUAAAGCAACCUUUAAAUAGCUCUCCUUCUACUUAUAUUCCUCCUAAAUUCACUAUUGUUACUCAUUAUGAGUUCACCAAUAUUAGUCAGCACAAGUCAGUUA
rnacentral:lncRNA from 10 species